UACGUAGGGCGCAAGCGUUAUCCGGAAUUAUUGGGCGUAAAGAGCUCGUAGGCGGCCUGUUACGUCUGCUGUGAAAUCCCGGGGCUUAACCCCGGGCGUGCAGUGGAUACGGGCAGGCUGGAGGCAGGCAGGGGAGAACGGAAUUCCCGGUGUAGCGGUGAAAUGCGCAGAUAUCGGGAGGAACACCGGUGGCGAAGGCGGUUCUCUGGGCCUGUACUGACGCUCAUGCACGAAAGCGUGGGGAGCAAACAGG
rnacentral:rRNA from 1 species